rnacentral:rRNA from 1 species
AGCCUGCGUCCGAUUAGCUUGUUGGUGGGGUAAAGGCUUACCAAGGCGACGAUCGGUAGCUGGUCUGAGAGGAUGAUCAGCCACACUGGAACUGAGACACGGUCCAGACUCCUACGGGAGGCAGCAGUGGGGAAUAUUGGACAAUGGGCGCAAGCCUGAUCCAGCAAUUCCGCGUGGUGAAUGAAGGUCUUCGGAUUGUAAAGCCCUUUCGACAGGGACGAUGAUGACGGUACCUGUAGAAGAAG